ACCCGCUCUUCCUGCACCUUUGAACCGCCUCUCUCGCCACGCGGAAAGAGAGAGAAAGAGAGAGAUAGAGAGAGGAAGAGAAAGAGAACAAAAGACAGAGGAAAACAAAGACUCACACCCGCAAGGAGGAGAAGAGUGGAAUAACAUGCACGAAGGAUCGACAGCAAAAAAUCGUGGACUUUAAACCUGAACUUGAACGACUGAGGAAUCUGUGUCAUAACCUUCCAGUCCGGACCGUCGUGUGUUGCGUGGCGGUCCUACAACACAAACCCACACACACACAAACACACACACACACUCACACGCACACACACACGUACAGUCACACCAAGCCGGCAAUCUCGAGGAAUCAAGUGUUGCGUCCGUCUUGAUCGUGUGUUACUUACUGUGAGCUCUGGGAAGUGUUGCGCGGAGUGUUGUACUGACUUGAGGGAAGCCUGUGAACUCUGGACCUUGGGAAUCUGCUUACCUGCCUGCUUCCGCCCACCUGCUUGCCCGGCCUACCUGCUGGUGAUCUCGACGAAGGAGGAAGUAACGAGCCGGGACACACACACACACACACACACACACACACACACACACACACACACACACACACGCACACGCAAGGAUGAGAUUAUUAUUCCUUCUGUUUGCUAUUGGGUCGGCGGCGGCGGCGGUGGGUCUGCGCUCCAAGGGGUGUAUAGACAAAUGCCCUGAGGAUCUGAAGCCCGUGUGUGCCUCGGACGGGAUCAUUUACUCCAGCGUGUGCCACAUGAAGAAGGAAAACUGCGGCAAAGGCGACGUGUACGUGUUACCUGACGAGCAGUGUGCCAGGGCCAGGGGAGGGAGCUGCCAACACAGGUGCCUCAACACUCGCGACCCCGUCUGCGCCUCCGACGGGAGAACGUACCUCAACGUGUGCUUGCUGCGCGUGGAGAACUGCAGGUCUGGGGUGGAGUUUGCCCAUUACGGCGUGUGCUUGGGGAGUGACGAGGAGAACAGCACAGAGGACGAGGAUGAGGACUGUCCCAAAGACUGUACGUACGCCGAGGAGGACGGUCCCAUCUGCGCUUCCGACGGCAAUGUUUACAACUCCACCUGCGACAUGAAGCACCGUACCUGUGGGCAGCGUGUGGUUCAGACCCUCCUGAAGCACUGCCCCACCACCGAACACUGCCUCGACGUCUGCCUCUACUCCUUCAGGGCCGUCUGCGCCUCCGACGGCAGGAUCUACAACAACGAGUGUCAGAUGAAGAUGCGGAACUGCGGCCGCCACAUCUUCAAGCUGCCCAUGGGGGAGUGUCGACCCCACGAGAGGAUGCCGGGGGCGUGUCCUGUGACCUGCAUAGGCGAGAAGUAUGACCCUGUGUGCGGCUCCGACGGCUACAUCUACGACAAUGAGUGUGACAUGAGGCGGCUGACGUGCGGGUCUCGCGGGGCCGGAGCAGUGUACAAGGUGUCGAUGGAGAAGUGUGAGAAAAGAAAGAAGUGUGACAAGAUGACGUGCCCGAGCGUGCCCGACCCAGUAUGCGGCACCGAUAGCGUCACCUACAUCAACUUCUGCUUCCUCCACGUGGCCUCCUGCAAGAGAGGCGUGGAGUUGGCACACUACGGCCGAUGCACGGAGCCCAGCCAGUCCGACGCGUGCCCCGACGAUUGCCCCGAUACCGAUGAGGAGGAGUUCCCGGUGUGUGGCUCGGACGGCAACGCCUACCCCUCCUACUGCGAGAUGAAGCGACGAACCUGCGGACAGAAAGUGGUUCCCGUCGCCCUGCACCACUGCGAGGCCACCAAGCACUGUCUGGACCGCUGCGACAAGCAAAGGCAUGCCGUCUGCGCCUCCGACCAGAGGAUCUACAGGAGCGUGUGCGAGAUGAAGGCCAGGAACUGUGGCAAACACGUCUACCAAGUCCCAAUGGAUCGCUGUCUGUCCGGGUUCAACUUCAUCAACUGCUACAAGAUCUGCCCACCGAUGUUCAACCCUGUGUGUGGGACGGACGGAAAGACCUACAGUAACGAGUGCUUCCUGGAGAUGGAGAAGUGCCGCUCCCGAAGUCUUGGUAGGAGCCUCGUCGUGUCCCGCGUGUACGAUGGUGCUUGUGGCCGCCCGGUACCGAGGGCUAAGCUGUAUAUGUUUAGAUAAGGUGUAUGGGAAGAGGGAUGGGUGGAUGAGGGUGUGUGUGGGGAGGGGAUGAGGGAGGAAGGGAUGGUGUUUGUGCUGGUGUGGAUAGGUCGAUAGGUGGAGGGUGUUGUUUUAAGGGGUGUGGAAGGAGAAGGGUUGUUUGUUUGUGUUUGUGUUGUGUGUGUGUGUGUGUUUCUUUUUGUGUUUGUGUGGGUUUGUUUACUUUGUUCUUGGCUGUUUUGUUGUUUUCUUUUUUUGUUAUCUUGUUUCUUUUUUCAGUGUUUCGUUUUCUUCGGUUUUCUUUUUUUUGUGUCCACAGUUUGUUUUAUCUUAUUUUCAUUCUUUCUCCCUUUUUCUUUAUUUUCUUUCCUUCCGUUCUUUUCUUCCUUCCUUCCUUCCUUCCUUUCUUCCUUCGGUUUUUCCAUUCUUUAUUUUUCUUUCUUUCUUUCUUCGAUAUAUCAUAAGCCUCUUCUUCCUUCACUUUUUCCUUUCUUUCUGUUUUUCUUUCCUUCUUUCUUUCCUUCUUUCUUCCUCUCGAUAUAUCAUAAGUCUCUUCGUAGAUCUGUUGUGUUCAUAGCAAGUAACAAGGAUCAGUGUUUGGUCUUGUGUACAGUAAGUUAGGUAAAGUAAGUGAAUGGAGAGGAAACGAAAACCGGUUAAACAUAUCAGAAAACAUGUCGAAUCAAAUAGAAAGUGGAGCAGCUAAGAUUCGCAAAGAUAUAUAUAGUUGACAGAUUCGUUCCAUAGGAGAGGAAAAUCGGUUAAACAUACCAGUGAACGUAUCGAAUUAAUAAGAAAGAAGAGCUGCUGAGAUUCGCAAGUAUUUAUAGCUGAUAGGUUUGUUCCAUGGCAAAUAAAAACGAGCGAAGAUAAUGUGGGUCAGGAUAAUGUGAGUGUUGUUGUCCACUGCAAUUCUUCACCCAAAACACAGAAUGGUAGAUGAUAUAGAGAAGAUGGCGCCACUAUAAACACCUGCCUGCGCAAAUACGGGCUGGGGCCGACUACCAUCCAGGCCCCUCAAGCAAGCCUACCGGCGCUAUAGGCGUAGACUUAAAAAAAAAAAAAAAAAAAAAAAAAAAAAAAAUUAGAAGAUUACCAAUGAAAUAUAAAAUAGAGAAUGGUAAAUAAGGGAGAAAUAGUAGAAGAUAAUGAUCCCGAAGGUGGUUAGAUAUUCACCUCCGGAAAGAAAUGAUCAAGAUAGAAAAGAUUGAACAUAAAUAGAUUGAGUGAACUUAAGGUAACAUUGCAGAGUCGUAAAGUUAAAAGAAAUAUAAGUUAACACUGCAGAUAGAUACCGUUAACAUUGCAAAGGAAAAACAUAUGAAAUUAAUAGAAAAGAUUGAAAAUAAAUAAAUAGAUUAAAUGAACUUAUGGUAACAUUGUUGAUAAGUAAAUUGAGUUGAAAAUAAGUUAACACUGCAGAUAGAUACCGUUAACAUUGCAAAGGAAAAACAUAUGAAAGUAAUAGAAAAGAUUGAAAACUAAUAGAUUGAGUGAACUUAAGGUGACAUUGCAGAGUCGUAAAGUUAAAAGAAAUAUAAGUUAACACCGCAGAUAAAUACCGUUAACAUUGCAAAGGAAAAACAUAUGAAAUUAAUAGAAAAGAUUGAAAAUUAAUAGAUUGAGUGAACUUAAGGUAACAUUGCAGAGUCGUAAAGUUAGUUGAAAUUAAGUUAACACUGCAGACAGAUACCGUUAACAUUGCAAGGGAAAAACAUAUAAAAUCAACAUAGCUUCCGAUAACUGUAACUCAGAUUUUGGGACAGAGGAAGAUCACUCAUUAAAACAGACGAAUUAAUCCUUUCACGUCUUCCAGUAUAUACUUCGUCAUUCCACUUCUACCCUCGCAGUUUAAAGCAGAGAAUGAGUCUGUUCGAAUGCCAUGCUGUAGUUUCGUUCCUUCGUCUUUCUUUCGUUGUUGUCGUGACGUUCGCCUCCGUGCAACCGUCCAUGGGAUACAAGUAUUCGUGGAAUCAGUAAAUAUUUUGCCGGCCACUGAUCUUGCUGUCCAGUGGCUGCUUCCUUCCCACCAGUAGCCUUUCCUGUGAUAUUUUUAUACGCUUGUCUCCUGAUCUGUUCGUCCCAGCAUCACUAGAGCAAGAUCUGCAUAUGCGUGUGUUUAAAUCUUGCACUAGAGGACAGUAAACGUAAUGAAGUGUCUCGUCUGUCAUGUUAGGUUGUGUUUGGUAGUAAUUUCCGCACCUUUCCCAUCACUAAAGCAAGAUCUAUAAAUGCGUGUGUUGAAAUCUUACACUUAUAAAGGACAGUAAACGUAGUGAAGUGUCUCGUCUGUCAUGUUAGGUUGUGUUUGGUAGUAAUUUCCGCACCUUUCCCAUCACUAAAGCAAGAUCUAUAAAUGCGUGUGUUGAAAUCUUACACUUAUAAAGGACAGUAAACGUAGUGAAGUGUCUCGUCUGUCAUGUUAGGUUGUGUUUGGUAAUCUGUUCGCAUCUUUCCGCUCAGUAGUUGUAUAAGAAAUUAAACUCCUGGGGUGGUACAGAUAAUUUAGCCGAGUUAUAAAAUUGAAAUACUACCAAAAGUGAACUAUAAUAAUGAAACUUUUUUGACGUUUUAUACCAAUGCCAAUAGAUAAAGUAUGGCAAUUAAAGUAUGAUGAAUUGAUAAAGUAUGAUAGUGACACUUUUUUUGCACUUUAAUGAUGCGAAUAGGUAAAGUAUAUAUAGUUUUUUCAUUAUCAUACAUCACUUAACUUCCCAUUGUAUAGUUUCAUGUCCUAUAUAUGCGUACUAAUUGAAAUGGUGCGUACGAAUUAGCCAACCCACCCAAAUUUCGCUGUACGAGAGAGUUACGUCACACAAAGAUAUCUCGCGACUGUGACUUAAAGGUCGGUAUUGCCAGACGCUUCCACGCCUCACACCAACUGUUCUCAAAGGCCGAAUAGAAGAUCACUCGGGUACUAAUGCAUCUUUUUGAGGUUCACGGUACAGAGGAAGGGUCAAACUACCACCAGGGGUCAUAAAACUACUACUGGAAAUACCCACUACUCCUAUGAAAGCCUUGUCAAAUAUGUGAGCUUGGGUGUGGAAAUUUUUAAGAAUAUGACCCCUACGCUCCUGAGAUGAAAGAAAACGGAAACGAAAAAGAUAAACUCCAAGGUCUUCACGAAUGAUGCUGGGGGUUUCGAACGAGGGGCAGCUUAUGUAUUUGUAGAUUAUGCUUUCCCCUAUCGCCAUAUGCACACCUGGUCGCGGAGUGCCUACCUGAGAACACACAAACACAUGUACGACUUGAAUUAACUAGUCUUCAUGAAGGAACUCUGAUAUGCACCUUGAAGACGUUACCUAUACGAUUUUUUUUUUCACUUUUUGACGAGAGAAAAAAAAACACUACGGCUACAUUUUGGAUUAGUAAAGAGAUAAGUGAGAAAAUGUGUUGCUUUUAUUAAUUAUUUUUUGCGCUUUACUUCUAUUUUGCGUCUAUAUUUUGGAAUGGUAAAAAAAAAAGAGAGAAAAAAUGUAGCUUUUAUAUAUAUGCUUUUUGCGCUUUCUACUUUGCGUCUAUAUUUUGAAAUAGUAAAAAAAAUAGAGAAAAUAUGUUGCUUUUUUAUAAAUGCUUAUUGCGUUUUACUAUAACGAAAACGAAAAUCCAAAGUUGAAGUCCAUUAUGAUGACGGUAGGCACUCUGGGAUCAUUAACCUUCAGUAUUUAUUAAGUAUUUAUUAUUUUGUAUUUAGUAUAUCAUUAUUGGCGAAUCGCGUAUUUUUCCUGUAAUUUAGCGUAAGGAGGGAAAGCAGGGUCAGUGUUUCUUUUUAAUAAUUUUUACAGCAGAGGAGACAGUGCAAGGGCGUAAAAAUAAAAGAAAACAAUAAUGAAAAUAAAAAAAAAAGCCCGCUCCUUGCUGCUCCUGAAUAGAGUAGAGAGUACCGCCUUUGCUGCUGAAGUCUGCCAGUUUGCAUCAUUUACCGUUUCUUAUGUUGUUAUUUAUCGUGUAGUUCGAGUUGACGGGGAGGGAUUCGGAUAGAGGGAUUCGGAAAGAGGGAUUCGGAAAGAGGGAUUCGGAUAGAGGGAUUCGGAUAGAGGGAUUCGGAUAGAGGGAUUCGGAAAGAGGGAUUCGGAAAGAGGGAUUCGGAAAGAGGGAUUCGGAAAGAGGGAUUCGGAUAAAGGGAUUCGGAUAGAGGGAUUCGGAUAGAGGGAUUCGAAUACCUUAUCGUGCGCCGGCCAUAGCAUUCAGUAGUGUAUUCUUGACCUGUUGCUGUAGCGUUCUUGUAGUGGACUUGUUGGGGGGCGCCUUCAGUAGUGGUCGGUGGCUUCGUGGCGGGCGUGAGAGGAGAGCCAUAGUAGAUGUAGCAGUAUUGUAUUGUUGUUGUUGUUGUUAUUAUUGUUAUUGUUAUAUGUAUUGUUGGUAAUGUUCUUGUUGUGGAAUAAAUUAUCUGCAUUGCCUUCAUUUUG